rnacentral:rRNA from 1 species
CCAGACUCCUACGGGAGGCAGCAGUGGGGGAUAUUGCACAAUGGGGGCAACCCUGAUGCAGCGACGCCGCGUGAGCGAUGGAGUACUUCGGUAUGUAAACCUCUGUCAGCAGGGAAGAACGGUCACUGUGCUAAUCAGCAGUGAAUUGACGGUACCUGCAAAGGAAGCACCGGCUAACUCCGUGCCAGCAGCCGCGGUAAUACGGAGGGUGCGAGCGUUAAUCGGAAUUACUGGGCGUAAAGCGCUCGUAGGCGGUAUGUCAAGUCAAGGGUGAAAUCCCCGCGCUCAACGUGGGAACUGCCUUUGAAACUGGCAAACUGGAGUGUGUGAGAGGAUAGUGGAAUUCCAGGUGUAGGAGUGAAAUCCGUAGAUAUCUGGAGGAACAUCAGUGGCGAAGGCGACUCCCUGGCACAUAACUGACGCUGAGGAGCGAAAGCGUGGGUAGCAAACAGGAUUAGAUACCCGAGUA